AUGAAUGAGGAGGGAAGAGGCAGAGUCAAAAUGAGAGAUGGGCAGGAAGGAAUUGGAGAGCUGCUUCAGGAUGCCUUCCUCAGGUGGAGAAAUAACAAGGGGAUAGCAAUGGAAAAAAAUGUUUGGAUGAAAGAAACACCCAUAAAAACUGUGACUCCUCCAUCUGAAGACUGCUUUCAUAUCUGUGACUCAGAAGGGAAUUGUGGCUCUUAUAAUGCAAUGAAACAUGUGGACUUCUGCAACUAUGUAAAUAUGGUUGGAAGAAUAAGCAGCAGCGUUGGUGUAGGUUCCUGUUCUGUGGAAUACAUAGCAAACUGACAGAAGAAAGUGGAGGAGGCAUUGCUCAGGCAUCAUCUGCUAAAGGACAGAUAUUGUCUUAUUUACCAGCAGCCACUGAUUUGUGAAAGGUAUGUGUGAGAGACAUUGGUUGCACUGUUCUUCUUGCACUGUUCUGUAACAUGAGUUUUCUGGUUCGGCAGGUCCUGUUGCCCUUCUCUGCUCCGAAGAAACAUGUAGAUGCUAUAUUUGUUAUAAAGCUGUUGUCAGGGAUGGAGAGAUGGCUCAGGGGUUAAGAGCACUGACUGUUCUUCCAGAGGUUCUGAGUUCAAUUCCCAGCAACCACAUGGUGGCUCACAACCAUCUGUAAUGUGAUCUGGUGCCCUCUUCUGGCACGCACUGUAUACAUGAUAAAUAAAUAAAUAAAUCUUAAAAAAAAAUAAAGCUAU
rnacentral:lncRNA from 1 species